UACAGAGGUCCCAAGCGUUGUUCGGAUUCACUGGGCGUAAAGGGUGCGUAGGUGGUGAGGUAAGUCGGAUGUGAAAUCUCGGAGCUUAACUCCGAAAUGGCAUUGGAAACUACCUUGCUAGAGGAUUGGAGGGGGGACUGGAAUUCUCGGUGUAGCAGUGAAAUGCGUAGAUAUCGAGAGGAACACCAGUGGCGAAGGCGAGUCCCUGGACAAUACCUGACACUGAGGCACGAAAGCUAGGGGAGCAAACAGG
rnacentral:rRNA from 1 species